AGUAGUAGCACAAUGGCAGUGCUUUAGUCUUCCAAACUAAAGAUGCGGGUUCAAUUCCCGUCUACUG
rnacentral:tRNA from 1 species